AUUGAACGCUGGCGGCAGGCUUAACACAUGCAAGUCGAACGAGUGGCGGACGGGUGAGUAAUGCUUGGGAAUCUACCUUUUAGUCUAGGAUAACUACUGGAAACGGUGGCUAAUACCGCAUACUAUCGGAUGAACCCAUCUGGGAUUAGCUAGUAGGUGGGGUAAAGGCUCACCUAGGCGACGAUCUCUAGCUGGUCUGAGAGGAUGAUCAGCCACACUGGGACUGAGAAACGGCCCAGACUCCUACGGGAGGCAGCAGUGGGGAAUAUUGCACAAUGGGCGCAAGCCUGAUGCAGCCAUGCCGCGUGUAUGAAGAAGGCCUUAGGGUUGUAAAGUACUUUCAGUCGGGAGGCGUUACCGACAGAAGAAGCACCGGCUAACUCCGUGCCAGCAGCCGCGGUAAUAC
rnacentral:rRNA from 1 species